UCAAUAAAAUGGAGCAGUGGUUAGCAAAUUUUAGCUUAGAGAAAAGAAAAAUAUGGCGACUUCUCUUUCAUCGUCUCUGCUGCAUUCACAGUGUGGAUCCUUCCUUGCCACUGCUGUAGUCUCUCGCUCUGCCACUGCCACUGCCACCCGUCUCCACCCCAAAACCAAAAGCCUCAACAACACUGUAAAUUCCUAUAUUUCCUGCUGCAACAACCCCGGAAAGCCCAGAGAGCAAUCUUUGAGCAAAAGGAGAGAGCUUUUGCUUCAAGCUGGCAUUGUUGCAUUCUCCCUUUCCGCAUUUCCUUCAGUUGCAUUUGCUGCAGAUAAUGUUGCAGUGAAGGAGUCUCCUCGUGUUUAUUCUGAUGAUGUCAACAAGUUUAAGAUAUUGAUUCCAGCCGAUUGGGAGGUGGGAACAGGAGAAGGCGAUGGAGUGAGGUCACUGAUUGCCUUCUAUCCUCAAGAAGCUUCAAACUCAAAUGUCAGUAUAGUGAUCACAAGCCUUGGUGCUGACUUUACCAGAUUGGAAUCUUUUGGAAAAGUUGAUGAAUUUGCAGAGAAUCUGGUGAGUGGAUUGGACCGAAGCUGGAAACGGCCUCCUGGAGUAGCAGCAAAACUCAUAGAUAGCAAAUCUGCUAAUGGGUUGUACUACAUUGAUUACACACUCCAAAAUCCUGGACAAAGUCUCAGGCAUCUAUUCACAGUGCUCGGAAUAGCAAACAACGGUUUUUACAACCGGCUGUAUACUAUUACUGGACAGUUUGUAGAUGAGGAGGCAGAGAAAUAUGGUGCCGAAGUUGAGAAGGCUGUUGCGUCUUUCAGGCUCAUGUAAUUGGCAACGGUGUGUCUUCUGGUUUGUCAUUUUGGUGCAUGCGUGCUUGUCAAUAAUGGGUCAAAGCUAGCUAGUGCAGACACACUUACUUGUUCUAGAAUGAAUGGUAUGGUAUGGUUGGAUGUUUAAAUGGCAAACGUCUGCUGGCUGGCUAUAUGAACAGAAGCAACAACGAUUAAUUUGCGUGCAGAGUAGAGUAUUAUUUUGUAUUUAGGCUCAUUUUCUUUCCAAUUCUUUCUGAAGAACAAAUGCCUUGAAUUUGUAGAAUCACACUUUGGACUUAACAGCGCAGCACAAUUUGCGAA